rnacentral:rRNA from 1 species
GUCUACGGCCAUACCACCCUGAACACACCCGAUCUCAUCUGAUCUCAGAAGCUAAGCAGGGUCGGGCCUGGUUAGUACUUGGAUGGGAGACCGCCUGGGAAUAGCGGGUGCUGUAGGCA